rnacentral:rRNA from 1 species
UGUUUAGCCGUAAAUAAACUCACAAUAAAUCGCCAAAGAAUUACAAGCGCAAGCUUAAAACUUAAAGGACUUGACGGUGUCUCAUCCCCCUAGAGGAGCCUGUCCUAUAAUCGAUAACCCCCGAUAAACCCGACUGCUUUUAGCCUAUCAGCCUGUAUACCUCCGUCGAAAGCUUACCUCAUGAGAGAUAAUAUAGUGAGCAAACAGACUUUUCCGCCUCAAUGUCAGGUCAAGGUGCAGCCAACAAAGCAGAAGAGAUGGGCUACAGUUUUUCCUAAAACAAACAGAUGAUCCUAUUAAAUAGGCUCAGAAGGCGGAUUUAGAAGUAAAAAGAAGUCACAGUAUUCUUUUUAAUAUAGGUCCUGAGACAAGU